rnacentral:misc_RNA from 1 species
UCCGGUUUGUCACCGGCAGUCUGCCUAGAGUCCCCAACUGAAUGAUGGCAACUAGGCACAAGGGUUGCGCUCGUUACGGGACUUAACCCAACAUCUCACGACACGAGCUGACGACAGCCAUGCAGCACCUGUCUCCAGGCUCCCGAAGGCACUUUCGUGUCUCCACAAAAUUCCCAGGAUGUCAAGGGCAGGUAAGGUUCUUCGCGUUGCAUCGAAUUAAACCACAUGCUCCACCGCUUGUGCGGGCCCCCGUCAAUUUCUUUGAGUUUUAGCCUUGCGGCCGUACUCCCCAGGCGGAGCGCUUAAUGCGUUGGCUGCGCCACUGGCAGGGAACACCCCGCCAACAGCUAGCGCUCAUCGUUUACAGCGUGGACUAC